CCUGUCUUCAAAUACUUUUCAAAUUAUUGCUGACACUAAAACAUAAAUGAAUGUAUGACCAAAAAUAUGAAUAAAACAAGUAGUUUGGGAUAAAUGCCUUUAAAUACUGAAUGCCAAGAAUAGGAUUUUUCGGGAUAAAAUCAUGUGGAAAGAAAAGCUCUAGUUAUAUUUCAAGCUAACAUAAACUGGAAAAAGAGGUUUUAAGAAUUAAUAGCUCCACUCUGUAUCAAUAUUUCCAACACUAAUCAAAUUGGAAGAAACUUGGGUAGUUUUGUUAGGAAGUCAAAGCAUGUAAUGUUGUAAAAAAUAAGUAUAUAAGGAAAAUACAUCCUUACUGGAAUCCAGAUGGGAAGACUAUACGGUGCCCCAAAUCCUAAAGGAUGCAUGAUGUUUAGAUCAAAAGAACACACAAGUGUGAGAAGGAGGCUAAUUUGAGGAUGAAAAAUGAACUCCUGACUUGGAGAAGAGAUAAUAAAAUGACGAAAUCAUUUCAUCUGUGUUGUAGGUCAUGGUCUGUGGAGGCAGACAAACCUGGGGAGAAAUAGACAAGGUCCUGGUGAUCUUCUGCCAAUCAAUUAACCUCUCCGAGUGCCAGUGUCAUGAAGGUUAAAUGACAAACGGAUGUAGUAUCAUGUAAGUAACCCUCACCAAAAAAAAAGUCUCUUUUUCUCCGUUCAUUUCUUUUGCCACAUCAAAGCUACAGCCUCGUUUUCACAGAUGACCAAAAAGAGAGCAAGACAAGAGCCUCCAAGAUUCCCUCAAGAGAUCCAAAAUAAAAAGAGCUUAUUCCUCAAAUCAAAAGGGACAAAGAAACCACAAAAGAUAACCAUACAAAUGAGCCUCCCAAGCUGUGGAAUAAGGAAUUCACUGAUGCUGGAGCUGCCUUAUGCAGAUAGAGUAUUGUGCAGAUCUGUUCCAGACCUCUGCCGAAGCUUCUGCCUCCCUCGGGAAGGUAUUGCCAUCAUUAAUGCACACUGAAUAACUAGCUUUCCCCCAGCUAGUUGUGCACAAAAGUAGGUUGCACAUGCACUCAUAGGGAGGAUGAUUUGCAAAAGGAGACCAGAGAAGCAGGAUGACCCUGCAUGGGCAAAAACCUUGCCCAGAAGAUGACAUACUACAUUAGAUGUGAUCAUGCUUCAGAAGGAACCGAGAAAACUCUAUUAUGCUGUUAGGAACAUGCACAGCCAAGUAUGUGCUGAACUCUGCUCCUCUGUUGGUUCUUGCCAAAAGGGCUGAUAUGCUGUGCUGCUUAUUAUGUUUUUUUUUUUUUUAACUCCAGGGAUCUAUGGAACCCAUUCUUAGAAUGCCGGAGAUUAUGACAAGUCCCAGAUCUUGUGAGCCAACCCAAACCUGGCUGGGCUCAGAGAUGGAUGAUAUGUUAUCCGGGAGCUGGGCCCUGUUCCUGUCUGAAUGGAUUCAGGAAAUGCAGUUACCAGCUGACUGCUUCUAGACAUCUUCAUCCCUCUCCUCUAUCCAGUCUCCAUCAAUGCCUCCUCCUCUCGGAAGCCUUCCUGGAGUCCAUCAGGCAGACAUGGGCACUUUUUAUAGGAAUGAAUUCUACUUGAGACCAAAGCCCUUGAUUUCUUCACUUGGCAUUCUCAGUGCCUGGCAAAGCGCCUGAUGCAAGAUUUUUGAGCGGAGAGCCAAGCAGCAAGGCUGAACACGCAUGAACACAGUUGACUGCUGUCACCAAAUGCAGCUUGCAACGAACUUAAUUUGAAGCAUAUUUCACAAUGUUCAGAGUUCUUCUUGUGCUGCAGAGCAGUUAGUGUAAAUGGUAAACAGUCACGUGAAGGGUGGAGUCACAUUCACCUUGUCAAACCAGGACUUUUCUCUUGUCCUUCUUUCUUCAGUAUCAUUUGUAUCAGGGUCAAUAAUUUACCUUUAACUUGUUCUAUAUAAUCAAGACACAGAUAUGGACACACAUACAUACACACACAAACACACGCACACGAAAAUGGUGACAGAGUCAACUCAAAAGCUAACACAUCCUGUGCCCCAGACCCAAAUCCUCUUCUCUGCAUAACUCAAAUCUCUGCUCCUCUCCCUCCAACUCAGCCCUCUCCACAGUCUGCUCCUGUGGUCCUUCGAUCUCGGGAAUACCUGAUCUGUACAUACACGGUUCUCACCCCCAGGCUGAUCGCUUAGAUGCCUGAGAGUCCGAGGAAAAAGCAAAGGAAAUCUAAAUAGGAAUUGAGUAUCAGGACUUGGAUAAGCGUUUUAUAUAUGGAUGAUCUCAUUUCAAUUUUUCAAGAACCUAGCCAGUCUGACAUUGCACAUAUUUUUAUAAACACAGAAGUUGAAGUUUAAAGAGUGAUUUGCUCAGGGUGACAAAGGUAGUAAGUGGUGAAACUGGCCAGGAGUCCAGACUCCAAAUUCCAUGGCAACACAGAAAAACUCUUGAGAAUGGGGUUGCAGAUAGCCCCUGCUGUUUAGUCUGAGAGAGUGUAAUAGGCAUUGCUUAUUUCUGACCAACACCUUAUCCCCUGGGAUCCUACCCAUCUUCUCCUCCAUAUGAUUCCGUUAGAGCUGGAAAUUAUUGAUCCUUCUUUAAUCAUGCUUCAGGGUUGUCCAAUCCUAGUACUGCAUUCCUCCACCAAGUCUAAGAGGUCCAAAGGGUGGGCAUAAGAGCCAGCAUUCAUCUCUGAAAAAUGAUAAAUGGACUAUAGGACAAAGCUUCCUCUUUCUACUGAGUUUGCUAAGCUGGAACAAUGCAAUUCUGAAGCUGCUGGAAGUGGUAUUUCCUGGCUGCAGGAAGGAACCCAUAUGCUGUAGUUGAGAAUAAGGCAGAAAGACCAGAUGGCAUGCUCUUUCACUUCUUUAUGCUUUUCCACAUAUGGUUCUCUAUGUCUAGAACACCUGUUUUGCUUUUCCCUCCAAAAUAUGUAUAUAUAAAUCUCCUAUCUUAUCUCAGGUGUCAUUUCCUUUAGGAACUGUGUCCUCUUUCCCCAUGAUGAGUUAGAUGCCCCUGCUGUAUAUUCUCAUAGUGUCUUGCUAAUUGUUAACACCCAUAAUAAAAAUUAACACACAGCAUUGUGAUUCCUAUCUACUGUCUUUCCCACCCUCUACAUGAUGCGCUCCUCGUGGAGAGUGAGUGUGUCAUGGUUAUCAUUGCAUUCACAUCAUUUAGGAAAGUAAUAGGUAAAUAAUAGAUGCUCAGUGUUUCUAGAAAGGGUGGAUGGUAAUGGAUAUUAGGUGAAUUUGAAAACUGUUUCUCAAACUCCAGAAGCUGUCGAUAGUUAUCCCCACAAAGAAAUCGAGGGAAAAUGAGCUCCAAAAUUUCUGAAAUUCAAAAUUCUCUGAAAUUUUCAUAGAUAAAACUAGAACCUGUGAAAAUUAUAGGCAGAUCUAUUUUAGCACAAUAUAAGAAAAGAAUUUCUAUCAGGUACAUGGUUUUAAUGUUUUCUCUUUGUGUUUGGUUUUUAUCAGUUUUACUAGGUUCUGUAUGGGUGUAGUUUUCUUUAUUAUUUAUUAUAAUUGGAGUUUUAGCAGUUCUUGAAAAUGUGAUUUGAUUUUUUGGUCACCUUUGGAAAAUCUCAGUCAAUAUCUCUUCAAAUAUCCUCCACCCUAUUUUCUCUUUCCUUUAUUUCCAGGACUCCAGCUGCAUGUAUGCUAGACCUUUUCACCGUGUCCCUCCAUCCUCCUAUUUUUAAUGGUAUUCUCUACUAUUUGUAUUAUUCUGGAUAUUUUCUUCUGACCUAUCUUCCAGUUUACUAAUUCUCUCUUUAGCUGUGGCUCAUGUGGUGUUAAACCAUUUAGUUCUUAAUUCCAGUUACUGUAUUGUUCAUUUCCACAGUUUUUAUUUGCUUCUUUUUCAUAGUAUCUAGUUCUCUGCUGAAAUUCUCCAGUUUGUCAUCCAA